GACGAACGCUGGCGGCGUGCUUAACACAUGCAAGUCGAACGGAAAGGCCCUGCUUUUGUGGGGUGCUCGAGUGGCGAACGGGUGAGUAACACGUGAGUAACCUGCCCUUGACUUUGGGAUAACUUCAGGAAACUGGGGCUAAUACCGGAUAGGAGCUCCUGCUGCAUGGUGGGGGUUGGAAAGUUUCGGCGGUUGGGGAUGGACUCGCGGCUUAUCAGCUUGUUGGUGGGGUAGUGGCUUACCAAGGCUUUGACGGGUAGCCGGCCUGGGAGUGUGACCGGCCACAUUGGGACUGAGAUACGGACCAGACUCCUACGGGAGGCAGCAGUGGGGAAUAUUGCACAAUGGGCGGAAGCCUGAUGCAGCAACGCCGCGUGCGGGAUGACGGCCUUCGGGUUGUAAACCGCUUUCGCCUGUGACGAAGCGUGAGUGACGGUAAUGGGUAAAGAAGCACCGGCUAACUACGUG
rnacentral:rRNA from 1 species